rnacentral:lncRNA from 1 species
CCUUAAUCUUUUUCAGACUUCUUUUUACCUAUUUGCGAGUACUAUUUUCUUCCUAUUUUUUGCACUUAAAUUUUUUAUGACAUGAUACAAAUUUGUAAACUAUUUUUUGUCUAUUUUCUAAACUUGCAUAUUUUCAUUGUUUAUGACUGGCAUCCUAUUCAAAAAGCCCGCUUCUCCUGCCAUUAUCUCUGUUGUUCAUUUUGCGACUUAUUGGUUGUUUUUAGCUGUGGGGUCACAUAUUGAAUAGUGAGCUCAAAGAUGACCAUAAAUAAACAAUGUGUAAAAAGAAAAUGUACGAAAUUUCAAUUUUGUUCCUUUAUUAAUAUUCUUGAUUUUAUUUACAAACUAUAGUAGUGACUAGUGCACUCAAAGAUAACCAUACAUAAACCAUGUGUAAAAAGAAAAUGUACACAUAGAAAUUUCAACCAAAAAAAAUCUCCUUUAUUAAUAGAAAAAAAAGCAUUCGAUCGAGAUAUUCCCGUUCUAUGUGUGCGCAAAGUUUCAACGUAGAGGACAGUACGCAAGUACGUAAUUUGAAAAUUACCCGUUAUUUUUUUUCCCCACUGGCACUGCUGUGCGCAUCGGACUUUUGCUGAUUUUCGUUCAUCAAACGUCUCCAAAUCACACCAAAAUGUCUUCCAGCAAUUAUUCUAGCGAUGAAAUUUCAUCAAGAGAUAGUGACUCCUCAUACUCCGAUGCCUCCUUAUCCCAUUUUAGUGAUUCUUCCCAAGAAAAUGAGCCCGACAAAUGUUCAAAAUAUUACUAGUCCCACUCGUAGAGAAACGAGUUUGUUGUCGAAUUACGGACCAUCGACGAGCGGAACUGGCCCCAGAAAACAGCUGAAAAGGAAUCAGAAAACACAACCUGCUAAUAAAGCACCACGCAAGAAGAAGAGCAAGUCUUCCAAGUCCGAGAGUGUGUCUGCGAGAUCAAUUGAAACUAAUCAAGCUACAAUGUACAUGUAACGUACAAUCACCAUUCGAUGCCUGUGAACAGCAUGACCAACAUCUGUAUCCUUUACAUUAGUAUUUGUUUCCAUUUUAUUAUGUAAUUCUUAUGUCUAAUCAUUGAGAUUCAUAGGCAAGUACAACAUGUACGUGUACACAAUGAGUGCCUGCAUAUUGUGAAGAUAAAGGACCAUAAGACCAUUACUUAUGAUACAUGGUAAUGAUGGUAUACUUUGUAAAACUAUUUGAAAAUAGUAGCAUGUAAGUCUGUCAUUUUCUUGUUUAUAUAUAUCUCAAUGACAUGACAUGUCAUUGAUUUUGUAGUAAGUGUUUCUAGAUUAUGAUGAUUGUAUUAAGAUUUUGACAGUUCAAUUGAGAUUGAGAAAAUUAUGUAACAUGUCAACUGUACAAUAGAGCAUGCAUGCAUUGUUGAAAAAUCUGUUUUAUGAUUUAUUUUAUUUUGUUAUCUUUGUAAAUAACGAGA